rnacentral:tRNA from 6 species
GGCCAGGUAGCUCAGUCGGUAGAGCAGCGGACUGAAAAUCCGCGUGUCGGUGGUUCGAUUCCGCCCCUGGCCACCA